rnacentral:tRNA from 1 species
AUUCUAUCUCAUCGUAUCACAUUCUGUUCUGCGAGAUUAGAAAAUCACCAUCAAUACCUCGGUCUAGGUCCGA